AUUGAACGCUGGCGGCAGGCCUAACACAUGCAAGUCGAACGAGUGGCGGACGGGUGAGUAAUGUCUGGGAAACUGCCUGAUGGAGGGGGGUAACUACUGGAAACGGUAGCUAAUACCGAAUACCCACAGAUGUGCCCAGAUGGGACUAGCUAGUUGGUGGGGUAAAGGCUCACCACGGCUACGAUCCCUAGCUGGUCUGAGAGGAGGACCAGCAACACUGGAACUGAGACACGGUCCAGACUCCUACGGGAGGCAGCAGUGGGGAAUAUUGCACAAUGGGCGAAAGCCUGAUGCAGCCAUGCCGCGUGUAUGAAGAAGGCCUUCGGGUUGUAAAGUACUUGCAGCGGGGAGGCGUUACCCGCAGAAGAAGCACCGGCUAACUCCGUGCCAGCCGCCGCGGUAAUAC
rnacentral:rRNA from 1 species